rnacentral:rRNA from 1 species
GACAGAGGGUGCAAACGUUGUUCGGAAUUACUGGGCGUAAAGCGUGCGUAGACGGCUAUCUAAGUCGGGUGUGAAAGCCCCGGGCUCAACCUGGGAAUUGCAUUCGAGACUGAAUAGCUAGGGUGCGGUAGGGGGAAGCGGAAUUUCCGGUGUAGCGGUGAAAUGCGUAGAUAUCGGAAGGAACAUCAGUGGCGAAAGCGGCUUCCUGGACCAGCACCGACGUUCAGGCACGAAAGCGUGGGGAGCAAACAGG